UGUUGACCUCGGAUCAGGUAGGAAUACCCGCUGAACUUAAGCAUAUCAAUAAGCGGAGGAAAAGAAACCAACAGGGAUUGCCCUAGUAACGGCGAGUGAAGCGGCAACAGCUCAAAUUUGAAAUCUGGCCCCCGCGGUCCGAGUUGUAAUUUGUAGAGGAUGCUUUUGGUGCGGUGCCUUCCGAGUUCCCUGGAACGGGACGCCAUAGAGGGUGAGAGCCCCGUCUGGUUGGAUACCAAUCCUCUGUAAAGCUCCUUCGACGAGUCGAGUAGUUUGGGAAUGCUGCUCUAAAUGGGAGGUAUAUGUCUUCUAAAGCUAAAUACCGGCCAGAGACCGAUAGCGCACAAGUAGAGUGAUCGAAAGAUGAAAAGCACUUUGAAAAGAGGGUUAAAUAGUACGUGAAAUUGUUGAAAGGGAAGCGUUUGUGACCAGACUUGGGCUCGGUCAAUCAUCCAGCGUUCUCGCUGGUGCACUUGGCCGGCCCAGGCCAGCAUCAGUUUGCCGCGGGGGAGAAAGGUUUCGGGAACGUAGCUCCUCGGAGUGUUAUAGCCCGUUGCGUAAUACCCUGCGGCGGACUGAGGUUCGCGCAUCUGCUAGGAUGCUGGCGUAAUGGUCAUCAACGACCCGUCUUGAAACACGGACCAAGGAGUCGUCUUCGUAUGCGAGUGUUCGGGUGUCAAACCCCUACGCGUAAUGAAAGUGAACGGAGGUGGGAGCCUCGGCGCACCAUCGACCGAUCCUGAUGUUUUCGGAUGGAUUUGAGUAAGAGCAUACGGGGCCGGACCCGAAAGAAGGUGAACUAUGCCUGUAUAGGGUGAAGCCAGAGGAAACUCUGGUGGAGGCUCGCAGCGGUUCUGACGUGCAAAUCGAUCGUCAAAUAUGGGCAUGGGGGCGAAAGACUAAUCGAACCU
rnacentral:rRNA from 1 species